UGGUGGCUAGGAGGAGGAGAGUGGGUCUGGAGCGGGAAGAUCAUGCUGGACACUCCCGUUUGAGAUGUCCAUAGGACGUGGGAGCUAGGAGCCUGGAGGUCAGGAGAGAUGUCAGGGCCAGACACAGUAGGAAGCUGAUCAUUGAAUUCACUCCCCAAGUGAAGUUGUGAGGAGGAGGAAAAGCAGAGGGCCCAGCACAGAGCCUGAGGGACACCUAAGGUUGGAUGUGAUCUAGAGGAGGAGCCAGCCAAGGACACAGAGCAGGAGUGGCCAGAGAGGGAGGAGGAAAACCAGGAGAGAAGAGGGGAUCCUGAACAGGAGUGCCCACAAGGCCCAGGCUGCGGGUAUCAAGGGCAAUGAGGGCUGAGAAGAGGCCCCUUGAUGUGGUCACUAGGAGCUCAUGGGUCAUUUCAGAGAACAGCUUCGGCAGAAUGAUGGGGCCAGAGGCCCGAGGGAAGAGCUGAAGGAAGUGCAGAUGCCUUCUCAUGGAGCCUUGGCAGCGCCUCAGAGUCAGGAAGGCCACUCCUCCUUUCUGGCAGCCUGGGUCACGUCCACAGGCAUACUCAUGGAUCACAAGGGCACGUGUAGACUAACAGGCAAAUGUUACACCAUCAAGAAGCAUUUGUGAAUCACCUACUGUGCGCUGUGUGCUGGGGACACAGAGACGGGCAGGAAGGUGCCUGUCCUCCAGAAGCUUGCCCUUUCAGGAGGGUCACGGGGACCCCCCCCCCACAGGUCCAAGGGCAUUUCACUGGGCUGGCGGUGGAGAGCGUGAGCAGGAGAGGCUUGUGGGGGGGUGAAGAAAAAAAGGCCCUCCAGCUGUGCUUCUGACUGCUCCGGCACCUCCUCCAAGGUCUCUUGGUGGUGGGUUUUCCGCGCCCACAGACCUCCCGAGAUCGUAGGACUUAGAGAUGGGGAGAGAGAUGGCAUCCGGUCCAACCUGUUCAUUUGAAUAUUGAGGAAACUGACGCCCAGGAGGAAAGGAGGUUUGCCCAAAGAGGCCGGGCAUGGAGGUUCCUGAGGCUGUUCCCACCCAGGGUGUGGCCUGCAGGGGUAUCCUGUGAACUAACUCAGCUCUGCCUGCCCUGCUCUGGCCCUUGCCCAGACUAGCCCCAUCAUCUAGUCCUCCUGCAACUCUACUGUCUCUGACUCCUCCCCAGGAAUAUUCUUGACCAGGAGGAUCAGCUGGGCUGCUGGCCCUAUGGCCUGGCCAGGGCCCUUUGUACAAACCUGGGGGCAUCCCUCUGACCCAACUAACAUCUGUGCCCAGCCAACCCCCCCCAGCUGCUGACAGGCUCCUCCCCUGCUCCUGCCCACCACGUGCCCAACUCACUGGUGAUCAAGGGGGGUGAAACCCUGUGACAAAUGGAAGGGUCCUGCUGGAAAUCAUCUGACCCGGGCACAUUCAGGUGUGAAGCCUCACUGUCAGAAGAAGGCUGAAGGGCCCAGAAGGAUUUGGGAGAUUGGGGGUGGGGUGGGAGGAAGGCAAAGACCCUCCCCCCAUCUUCCUCCCCUUCUGAGCAUCUGGCUGGCUGCCUGUGGCAGCUAUCCAGAGAGAGUUCCGGGACCAUGUCCUGUUCCCCAGGGUUCCUUCCUCCUCCAACGGCCAAACUUGGUAAGACUUCAUCUCCAGAGGCCUCUAGCCUUCAGGUGCACAGCCCUGCCUUCCCUCCAAGCUCAACAGCAAGGCCUUUCUUGGGGACUCUGGGACUUGAACCCUGGUGAGGGACCCUUAGGUGGAGGGAGACUGGGCGACCUGAGCAGACAGUCACACGGAUGGCAAUUCAGAGCUAGAAGGCCUUGUCUGACUCCCCUAGCUUACAGAUGGGGAAACUGAGGCUCAGCUAGUGAGAAGCCUGGCCCCUGGUUGGUGCUGAGCACAUGCACGUAACAGUGUGUCAGGCUGGAUCGCCUCACCCAGGCUCCCACAGAGAGAGAAUGAGCAGGCUGAGCUUUUGAGCGGUGUCCUUCUUCUCCACUCCCCAGGCUCAUCCUAAGCCCUUCACUUUGCAAAUCAGAACAAUGAAGGUUAUGGGUUGGUCAGUGAAGUGUCUCACUUCUUUCAAGUCCCAACUUAGCAACUCCUUCCUUCCAAAAGCGUUCCCUGGCAGCCCAGCAAAGUGGGAAUAGCGGCGGAUUCAGACAGAUGGAUGGAUGAACAGAUGGAUGGACAUACAUAUGGAAGAACAGACAGAUGGA